GGGUAUAGCUCAAGUGGUAGAGCGCAUACUUAGCAUGCAUGAGGUCCUGGGUUCAACUCCCAGUAAAUCCU
rnacentral:tRNA from 1 species